UACAGAGGAUGCAAGCGUUAUCCGGAAUGAUUGGGCGUAAAGCGUCUGUAGGUGGCUUUUUAAGUCCGCCGUCAAAUCCCAGGGCUCAACUCUGGACAGGCGGUGGAAACUACCAAGCUCGAGUACGGUAGGGGCAGAGGGAAUUUCCGGUGGAGCGGUGAAAUGCGUAGAUAUCGGAAGGAACACCGGUGGCGAAAGCGGCGCGCUGGAUCUCUUCUGACGCUGAGGCGCGAAAGCCAGGGGAGCGAACGGG
rnacentral:rRNA from 1 species